rnacentral:rRNA from 1 species
CCCGCACAAGCAGCGGAGCGUGUGGUUUAAUUCGAUGAUACACGAAGAACCUUACUCAGGCUUGACAUGCAGGUAUCGGGGUUUACGAAAGUAGGCCCCACCUCGGGAGGCCUGCACAGGUGCUGCAUGGCUGUCGUCAGCUCGUGUCGUGAGAUGUCCGGUUAAGUCCGGUAACGAGCGCAACCCUCGCUGUAUGUUAUACGUGUCAUACGGGACUGCCGGUAUCAAGCCGGAGGAAGGUGGGGAUGACGUCAAGUCAGCAUGGCCUUUAUGUCUGGGGCUACACACACGCUACAAUGGCCAGUACAAUAGGUUGCAAGACCGCGAGGUGGAGCCAAUCCUAAAAGCUGGUCUCAGUUCGGAUUGCAGGCUGCAACUCGCCUGCAUGAAGUCGGAGUUGCUAGUAACCGCGCGUCAGCUAUAGUGCGGUGAAUACGUUCCCGGGCCUU